rnacentral:lncRNA from 1 species
AAAACACAAGCCCGUGUGUUUAUACAACUUUGUGGCAAAGAACAUGACCUGAAGUGGUUUUAUGACCAGGGACACAGCGUGAUCGGUGUGGAAUUUGUGGAGGAAUGCGUUCGGAGCUACUUCGCUGAAAAAGGCCUUCAAAUGGAGGAGGAUACUUGUCCCAUCAUUAAAUGCAAGAUACUCAGGACGCCAGACCAUCGACUACAAGUGUUUAUCUGCAACAUUUUCGACUUCAAAAGGGAGUGCGCCGGAACUGUGGAUAUUGUUUGGGAUAGGUCUGGAUUUACAGCUGUCAGAAUUCAGGACCGCGGCCGGUA